UCAUCUGAAUUCCCCGGCCUCCCCCAUUUCUCAUCCCUCCUCUCUUCCAACCUCCGCAUUUUCCACUUUCUUUCUUCUGGGAUCAGGUUAGGUGGUUUCUGAUCUGGGAGUAGUUGUCGCCGUCUGAGGUUUUGGUGGAAGCAGCGAGAAUGAGUCCCGUAAUUAGCGUAAGCGUAAGCUCUCUCCCACCCAAUCACCCGCGGCGCCACGCCUCCUGCCGCUCCGGCGAUUGAUCGCCGGCGGCGGAGGGGAAGCGGCCGUAUCCGAACCCUGGACUGGGGAUCCGGCCGUGGGCUUUUACUUUAUUGUAUACUAUAAUUUAC
rnacentral:lncRNA from 1 species